rnacentral:rRNA from 1 species
GACGAACGCUGGCGGCGUGCUUAACACAUGCAAGUCGAACGGAAAGGCGCCCUUCGGGGUACCGGCGUGUGGAACGGGGGUGUAACAUGCGAGUAACCUGCCCUAGUCUUCGGGGUAAGCUCAGCAAACGGGGGCUAAUACCGGCAAGGAACCCUUGCUUCAUGGUGGGGGUUGGAAAGCCUCGGCGGUUUUGGAUGGACUCGCGGCUUAUCAGCUUGUUGGUGGGGUAGUGGCUUACCAAGGCGUUGACGGGUAGCCGGCCUGAGAGGGCGACCGGCCACAUUGGCACUGAGAUGCGGCCGCGACUCCUACGGGUGGCAGCAGGGGGGAAUCUUGCUCAAUGGGCGGCGGCCGGAUGCAGCAGCGCCGCGUGCGGGAUGCCGGCCUUCGGGUUGUAGACCGCCUUCAGCAGGAGCGACGCUUGUGGUGACGGUACCUGCAGAAGAAGCACCGGCUAACUACGUG